rnacentral:rRNA from 1 species
GAUGAACGCUGGCGGCGUGCCUAAUACAUGCAAGUCGAGCGAACGGACGAGAAGCUUGCUUCUCUGAUGUUAGCGGCGGACGGGUGAGUAACACGUGGAUAACCUACCUAUAAGACUGGGAUAACUUCGGGAAACCGUAGCUAAUACCGGAUAAUAUUUUGAACCGCAUGGUUCAAAAGUGAAAGACGGUCUUGCUGUCACUUAUAGAUGGAUCCGCGCUGCAUUAGCUAGUUGGUAAGGUAACGGCUUACCAAGGCAACGAUGCAUAGCCGACCUGAGAGGGUGAUAGGCUACACUGGAACUGAGACACGGUCCAGGCUCCUACGGGAGGCAGCAGUAGGGAAUCUUACGCAAUGGGCGAAAGCCUGACGGAGCAACGCCGCGUGAGUGAUGAAGGUCUUCGGAUCGUAAAACUCUGUUAUUAGGGAAGAACAUAUGUGUAAGUAACUGUGCACAUCUUGACGGUACCUAAUCAGAAAGCCACGGCUAACUACGUG